rnacentral:tRNA from 1 species
GGCUCCAUAGUGUAGCGGUUAGCAUGUCUGCUUUACACGCAGAAGAUCCUGGGUUCACAACCCAAGUGGAGCCA